rnacentral:rRNA from 1 species
UGCCAGACUCCUACGGGAGGCAGCAGUGGGGAAUAUUGCACAAUGGGGGAAACCCUGAUGCAGCGACGCCGCGUGAGUGAAGAAGUAUCUCGGUAUGUAAAGCUCUAUCAGCAGGGAAGAAAAUGACGGUACCUGACUAAGAAGCCCCGGCUAACUACGUGCCAGCAGCCGCGGUAAUACGUAGGGGGCAAGCGUUAUUCGGAUUUACUGGGUGUAAAGGGAGCGUAGACGGCGCUGCAAGUCCGGAGUGAAAGUCCAUGGCUUAACCAUGGUACUGCUCUGGAAACUGUGGAGCUUGAGUGCUGGAGAGGCAAUCGGAAUUCCGUGUGUAGCGGUGAAAUGCGUAGAUAUACGGAGGAACACCAGCGGCGAAGGCGGGUUGCUGGACAGUAACUGACGCUGAGGCGCGAAGGCGUGGGGAGCAAACAGGAUUAGAUACCCCCGUAU